rnacentral:rRNA from 1 species
AUUGAACGCUGGCGGCAGGCCUAACACAUGCAAGUCGAACGAGUGGCGGACGGGUGAGUAAUGUCUGGGAAACUGCCUGAUGGAGGGGGAUAACUACUGGAAACGGUAGCUAAUACAGCAUACCAUCGGAUGUGCCCAUAUGGUAUUAGCUAGUAGGUAGGGUAAAGGCUCACCUAGGCGACGAUCCCUAGCUGGUCUGAGAGGAUGACCAGCUAGACGGGAACUGAGACACGGCCCAAACUCCUACGGUGGGAAGCAGUGGGGAAGAUUGCACAAGGGGCGAAAGCCUGAUGCAGCCAUGCGGCGUUGAUGAAGAAGGCCUUCGGUUUGUAAAGUACUUUCAGCUGGUAGGCGUUACCCGCAGAAGAAGCACCGGCUAACUCCGUGCCAGCAGCCGCGGUAAUAC